ACUUAUUCUGAAACUCCUCUACUCAAAUGUUCCAACACUCUCUGUUUUAUUUUUGUGAUGAUCUGUUCUACUUACGACUCUCAAGCUUAUCCCUGAUUUUCUCAUUCCCCGAGCCGAGCGACUAACCAUAAGAGACAUAUCACCCUGUAAGUUUAUGAAGAACACUAACUCGAAUGGAGAGUGUAAAUGGGAAGGUGAUCCACCCACUCAUAUUCAAAUUGUUUGAAGGCCCAGACGGAGUAAUGACAUAGUCUAAAUGAACCUUAUGGGAAUGGCAUACUUUGAUUGAGAGUAUGAGAUGUGUGACGUACGAUUGCUUGUAAGAGAUGUCAUGAUAGGUGUGUGUAUGUGCAAAAAUGUAAAGUGUGGGACGUAUGUAUUUGUAAAGAUGUGUAUAUGUACUUGUUGUAUAGAUGAAUGUGUAGGAUGUGGAGGUAUAGAUGAAUGAAAGGAUGUGUAUAGAUGAAUGUA